GAACGGAUAGUUUAAUGGCAAAACACCAAUCUUCCCUGAUUCAUUUAUUUAUCCGUAAGGGUCGCUGAAUUUAGGGUUAUCGCCUGUUAAGCGGGAGAUGGAGGUUCGAUUCCUCCUCCGUUCGCCA
rnacentral:tRNA from 1 species